UACGAAGGGGGCUAGCGUUGUUCGGAUUUACUGGGCGUAAAGCGCACGUAGGCGGACUUUUAAGUCGGGGGUGAAAUCCCGGGGCUCAACUCCGGAACUGCCUUUGAUACUGGAAGUCUUGAGUACUGAAGAGGUAAGUGGAAUUGCGAGUGUAGAGGUGAAAUUCGUAGAUAUUAGCAGGAACACCAGUGGCGAAGGCGGCUUACUGGUCCAUUACUGACGCUGAGGUGCGAAAGCGUGGGGAGCAAACAGG
rnacentral:rRNA from 1 species